GAGAGCUGAAAAUGGAGGAAGACAAUGAGAUAAACAAUCGCCUGAGCUUGACAGACAAGAAUCAGCAAGACUCUAAUUGGCAUUACAAUGUGUUGGGAUGCCUGUGGGGUUUUAAGCCGCGCGCCCCUGUACCCUACUCCCGCAAUGAAUGAUGGGGCGAUUUUACGCAAUGUGAGUUGUUGUUAUGAAGUUGGAAUGCAAGAUGAAUUCUAGAUGUUUUACGUUAUUCGAUAAAAACACGGUGUGAAUCCUUUCUAUUCUGGCCAUGAGGAAAUACCACAUUAUGAGGUAAAAAUUAUAAUUAUCAUUGAUGGCACUGUCAAGUGACUAGAAUAUAAUGCUUUAUAAGUGUUAAUUGAUUAAACUUAUUUAUGUUUUUGUGCCAUUUUUGUGCAAUCUAUAAAUUUGCAGUAAUCAAUAAUCAUUUCCUUUCAUGUCCUCAACUAACGU